rnacentral:rRNA from 1 species
AGGACGAACGCUGGCGGCGUGCUUAACACAUGCAAGUCGAGCGGUAAGGCUCCUUCGGGAGUACACGAGCGGCGAACGGGUGAGUAACACGUGAGCAAUCUGCCCUUCUCUUCGGAAUAACCAUUGGAAACGAUGGCUAAUGCCGAAUACGACCUCCUUUCGCAUGAUCGGAGGUGGAAAGCUCCGGCGGAGAAGGAUGAGCUCGCGGCCUAUCAGCUAGUUGGCGGGUAACGGCCCACCAAGGCGACGACGGGUAGCCGGCCUGACGAGGGUGACCGGCCACACUGGGACUGAGACACGGCCCAGACUCCGUACGGAGGCAGCAGUGGGGAUAGUUGGACAAUGGGCGAAAGCCUGAUCCAGCAACGCCGCGUGAGGAUGACGGCCUUCGGGUUCGUAAACCUCUUUCAG